UCCUCGUAUGUGUAAAACACUACUUGGCAAUAAAGCUCAUUCUGAUUCUGAUUCUUAUGAAGAUUAGAUGAUGUAAUUGAAAGCUCCGGAACAUCUACUAAAGCCUAGUUCACACAACAUGAUUUUAAGCCAGAUUUGCCGGCCAGUGAGCUCGGCGACCGUCAGCAAUCAAUCUGCGGUCACCAGUCCUUAAAAGUGAACUACUAACAACUAAUAACGCAUCAAAAUGGCUCCUCGACGCAUUGCUGACGCAUUGCAGAUGCCAGCCAGAUAUCUAGCAUGCCAAAUAUCUGGAGGAGUCGGCUGACUUGACAUCCACAUCCAGCCAAUGAGAGCAAGCAGCUGGCAGAGCAGUCAUGUAGUGUAAACGCCACAAGAACUAUAAAACUCCCGUCACAAGACGGCAAGUUGUGUAGUCUGAACAGCACUGUGAUCUGCCUACGCUGAAAGUCAUGUAGUCUGCACGAGCCUUAAAUGGACCUCGUGGUAAGAUUGUUUUCUCAAAUAAAUGCUUUUUAUCACCCUCAAA